rnacentral:lncRNA from 7 species
AGUCCAACCGUUCGCCUACCACCAAUAUUUCCCCACCAAAUGGUGUCCCUUAGAACAACAUCUAAACAUGGAACCAGGUGGAGCAUGUUGGUAGCAGACUGAGGUGGUUGUCCUUUGCUUAGUAAUAAAUCUCUGGAGUUUCUUGCCAGAAGACACUGGGUGCUGAGGUAUUACGUGGGCUCAAGUCCAUUGGUCAAUUCUUUACUAGGCAGAAUCACAGAAAAUAAAUUUAUUGCAGACUGUUAAAUACCAGAAGACAAACUGUGGAGUCAGGAACCACAAGUCACUUGGUGCUUGAGAAGUGUUUGGAGGAACAUACUGCUGUAUUCUCAUCUCUUCUUUUACUUUUUCCCAAUCAUUUGUUGCCCAAUCCAGUAUAUUCUGCCAGAUUGAUCUUUGAUCUGACCCGUAGCACAGUCCUUGCAUCAGAUCACAAAUAUUUAUGGAAUCACUUAUGCAGAGUGCAUUCAUACCUCUUGUUUCUAUUACACCUAUGCCUAAACUUCAGUUUGUUUGUUUGUUUAAAUUUUUUAAUCAUUAAAAAAAAAAAAAAAAGAAAGAAAUUUCUAAUCCUGUUGGAUGUAGGUAGAAUGCCAGAUACAAAGAAAUGAGGAAAUUGAGAUAAUUUCUUGUGUUUCAGAAAAACAGGUGUCUGGUGAAUGAAGUCAAGCUGGUAGAAAACAUGUUAAAAAACAUUCUGUAUGGAUGUUCUGUACGAACACAAAAGUACACCAGCAAGUCUGUCUGCCAAAGACAGUGUUUCCAGAUGUUUGCAGUGCAUCAGCCUGGUGUUUAAAUAAAACCUGUAGCAGUAAUUCUGUGAAUUCUUCCAAGGACCAUGUGAAGCCUGGACUGCAUAUGACCAUGUUGUCUAGGAGGUCUGUGAGUCCCGAUCUUCAUGCAGCAUGGAGCAGUACGAGCUGGAGCCUCCUCUGGCUGAUCAUCAGGCUGUAGUCAACCACCGUGUUGUUAGUUGGAAACUGGCCAGGUUUGCAGCUGAGGCGUCAACACAAGCUGUCUGUGAGCAAGAAUCAGCACCAAUCUCUGAGAUUAUAAAGCAAGGAGAACUGAGUUGUGGGAUGGAUAAACACGUUGCCAAUUGCCACACAGGAAGCCCUCAAGAGAACUGGAGGAAGCUCAGAUUUGCUGAAUGUGAGAUCAAGUUCAAAGAGCUUCAUCUGAAUGGCUGAACUAACACAGUGUCUUAAAACCUCCAGCAGAUCACACACUACCUGAGCUCUCGGGAGCAUGAACUAUUCUGUAGGAAAAUAUAAACCUCUUUUUAUGUGUGAAGUGAAACCUGUGAGGUGUAACAUCUCCUGCAGCCCUGGGGAAGUCCUGGCUGUGGAUACGGUCCUCUGCAUUCCUGGAGCAGGUCUAGAGCAUCACCCCUCCCUACAGCUGAGCGAUACAAGGGGGUCACCACCACCUCUGAGAUUUCCCUGACCGAAUUUGCAAAGCUGACUCUGAAAGUAAACAUGCACCACAGCUGCACCGCUGCCUUUUUGUCGUCUCAUAGUAUAAGCAACAGCAAAGCACGGGGCUCAGAAUACAGUGUAUUCAGAAUAUCCAACAUAGAGGUGAAUUAAAGAAGUCACAAAUCAAAGAAGGUGGGUUUUUUCUUUUUGAUUGGGUUUUUUUGGAAGCCUUAAUUUCUGCAUUCACAUGAUUAUGGGACAGUAUUUGAUUUCAUUGGUGAGAGACUGUGAAAUCUUAUAUAGAGAGAAGUGUAUAUACGUAAAAGUGUAUCUUAUAUAUACAUAAAAAUGUAUUCAUG